rnacentral:rRNA from 1 species
UACGUAGGGUGCGAGCGUUAAUCGGAAUUACUGGGCGUAAAGCGUGCGCAGGCGGUUUUGUAAGCCAGAUGUGAAAGCCCCGGGCUUAACCUGGGAAUGGCAUUUGGGACUGCAAGGCUUGAGUGCGGCAGAGGAGACUGGAAUUCCGCGUGUAGCAGUGAAAUGCGUAGAUAUGCGGAGGAACACCGAUGGCGAAGGCAGCCCCCUGGGCUAACACUGACGCCUCAUGCACGAAAGCGUGGGGAGCAAACAGG